rnacentral:rRNA from 1 species
GACGAACGCUGGCGGCGUGCUUAACACAUGCAAGUCGAACGGACAGACAGAGAGCUUGCUCUCUUGAAGUUAGUGGCGAACGGGUGAGUAACGCGUAAUCAACCUGCCCUUCAGAGGGGGAUAACAACGGGAAACCGUUGCUAAUACCGCGUACGAUUCAUGAACGGCAUCGUUUAUGAAUGAAAGGUGGCCUCUAUGUAUAAGCUAUCGCUGAAGGAGGGGAUGCGUCUGAUUAGCUAGUUGGAGGGGUAACGGCCCACCAAGGCAAUGAUCAGUAGCCGGUCUGAGAGGAUGAAAGGCCACAUUGGGACUGAGACACGGCCCAAACUCCUACGGGAGGCAGCAGUGGGGAAUCUUCCGCAAUGGACGAAAGUCUGACGGAGCAACGCCGCGUGAGUGAUGAAGGUCUUCGGAUUGUAAAGCUCUGUUAAUCGGGACGAAAGAGUUCUGCGUGAAUAAUGCAGAAAAGUGACGGUACCGGAAUAGAAAGCCACGGCUAACUACGUGCCAGCAGCCGCCGUAA